AUGCAAGAAAUUGUUUCUCACCUUUGGAUUUCUGGCACUGAAUUCACAUGCAUGCCUUGUGCAAAUAUGAAGACCGUGUUUCCGGCUUGUAAGUUUUUGGUUGUUUGCAAAGUUAAACAGUCUAAUUUUUACUUCUUAGAUACAGAUAAUCCUUGGUCGAAAGAUUUUGUUGCUGUCCAGGCCAUCUUGAAGACGUUUGGUGAUGCAUCCAGGCUGAGAACUAACAUUGCGAAGAGUGUGGCUUAUCCUACUUCCUGUGAUGGGUUCAGAAAGCCGAGCUACAGCCGGUUGUGCUUGACUAGGCUACCAGCAAGCUCUCGCCAUGGAAAGAGCGACGUCUCAACAGGACUGGAAGACUGGUGA
rnacentral:rRNA from 1 species